CCAGACUCCUACGGGAGGCAGCAGUGGGGAAUAUUGCACAAUGGGCGCAAGCCUGAUGCAGCGACGCCGCGUGAGGGAUGGAGGCCUUCGGGUUGUGAACCUCUUUCGCCAGUGAAGCAGGCCUGCUCCUUGUGGGUGGGUUGACGGUAGCUGGAUAAGAAGCGCCGGCUAACUACGUGCCAGCAGCCGCGGUAAUACGUAGGGCGCGAGCGUUGGCCGGAAUUAUUGGGCGUAAAGAGCUCGUAGGCGGCUGGUCGCGUCUGUCGUGAAAUCCUCUGGCUUAACUGGGGGCUUGCGGUGGGUACGGGCCGGCUUGAGUGCGGUAGGGGAGACUGGAACUCCUGGUGUAGCGGUGGAAUGCGCAGAUAUCAGGAAGAACACCGGUGGCGAAGGCGGGUCUCUGGGCCGUUACUGACGCUGAGGAGCGAAAGCGUGGGGAGCGAACAGGAUUAGAUACCCUGGUAGUCCACGCCGUAAACGUUGGGCACUAGGUGUGGGGGGCCUUUUCCGGGUCUUCCGCGCCGUAGCUAACGCAUUAAGUGCCCCGCCUGGGGAGUACGGCCGCAAGGCUAAAACUCAAAGGAAUUGACGGGGGCCCGCACAAG
rnacentral:rRNA from 1 species